GUGCAGAAAAAGUAACUUAACUUUGAUCGUCAGGAUAGUUGUGGAUAUUAGAAGGCCUGCUACAAGACAGCACCACAAGCCACUUCAUAUAUAUGGGACAGUGGUGGAAAAGGACAACUGCACAGGUCAGUGGUGAAGACAAAAUAACUCUCUUGGGCCUGCUGCUGUUCAGAAGUCAGGUUCUGUUGUCUACUGUAUGUAGCAACCGCACACUGGUAGUGCAGUGAAGCAAGUAUUUGACAAAUGCUCUUGACAUCAAUGAGACCUAUUAGUUCAUCACUUCGUUGAAACAAAGCCGGCAAUCCUAGUCUAUAUCUGACAGUAUGUGUGUGUGUGUGUUCAGAGUUACUGCAUCACGGACCACUUACGGCACCAUCCAUAAAACCCUCUAACCCCUUCUGUCUUACCAGAAGGAAGCUUAGAGGGAAAUAAAAUCAA